UGAUGCAGCCAUGCCGCGUGUGUGAAGAAGGCCUUCGGGUUGUAAAGCACUUUCAGUUGUGAGGAAAAGUUAGUAGUUAAUACCUGCUAGCCGUGACGUUAACAACAGAAGAAGCACCGGCUAACUCCGUGCCAGCAGCCGCGGUAAUACGGAGGGUGCGAGCGUUAAUCGGAAUUACUGGGCGUAAAGCGCACGCAGGCGGUUUGUUAAGCUAGAUGUGAAAGCCCCGGGCUCAACCUGGGAUGGUCAUUUAGAACUGGCAGACUAGAGUCUUGGAGAGGGGAGUGGAAUUCCAGGUGUAGCGGUGAAAUGCGUAGAUAUCUGGAGGAACAUCAGUGGCGAAGGCGACUCCCUGGCCAAAGACUGACGCUCAUGUGCGAAAGUGUGGGUAGCGAACAGGAUUAGAUACCCUGGUAGUCCACACCGUAAACGCUGUCUACUAGCUGUUUGUGACUUUAAGUCGUGAGUAGCGAAGCUAACGCGAUAAGUAGACCGCC
rnacentral:rRNA from 1 species